rnacentral:rRNA from 1 species
UGGGGAAUUUUGGACAAUGGGCGAAAGCCUGAUCCAGCAAUGCCGCGUGAGUGAAGAAGGCCUUAGGGUUGUAAAGCACUUUCAGCGAGGAGGAAGGCGUUGUAGUUAAUAGCUGCAGCGAUUGACGUUACUCGCAGAAGAAGCACCGGCUAACUCCGUGCCAGCAGCCGCGGUAAUACGGAGGGUGCAAGCGUUAAUCGGAAUUACUGGGCGUAAAGCGCACGCAGGCGGUUUGUUAAGUCAGAUGUGAAAUCCCCGAGCUUAACUUGGGAACUGCAUUUGAAACUGGCAAGCUAGAGUCUUGUAGAGGGGGUUAGAAUUCCAGGUGUAGCGGUGAAAUGCGUAGAGAUCUGGAGGAAUACCGGUGGCGAAGGCGGCCCCCUGGACAAAGACUGACGCU